AUCGAGCUGUCAUUUUGUUUUCAAAUUUUGUUUUCAUCCGCGCGCGUGUUCGAUCUUGUUCGUUUCGUUUGUGUUUGGCGUAGUUCAAAUCGAAAAUUGUUAAGUCGACUCGCGUGUGCUCGUGGAGAAACAACAUCCGGCGUUCGUGCAGCAUGGUUCUGUUGGACUAAUCCGCCGGGUGACCGAACCGGAACGGCGGGAUGACAGAAUUUUCGGAUAUUUGAGGAUUCUCCCACCAGGUUCGCUGACGGGACACAACCCAACGAAAGCGUUCGAAUGGGAGAGGACCCGACGCCUGCUGCGGAAACUUCCGGCCGUGUUUGUUUCUGAUGGUGAGCUCGUCUCGGCUGGAGGCGAAAAUCGUUAGGGGCUUAUUUCACUAAGGAUUGUGCUUUUUGAUUACUCGAAUGUUUAUCCCAAUUACGAAGCAGUUGAUCCGGAACCGGCUACGAACAUUCCGAAUAAUUUCAAACAGUGCGGAUUGAAGCGGAAUAACAAAAGAAAACGACACGGAAAGUUAGUGCUAAAUAAAGUAAAACAAAAA